ACUUAAAUAACUUAUAUUAUUAGAGUAUAAUAUUGAAGAUAUUAAAGAGAUUUAUGAAAUCUUUAAGUA
rnacentral:tRNA from 1 species